CCAUCCAUCCGUCGGCUGGCAGACCUCCCUUCUCCCCCUCUUCCUCUCCCUCUCCAUCAGCUCGCGCGCGAGUAGGGCUUCCCCGCACCAGUCGCCCCUCGCGCCGCACCCAACUUGCCUCCAACGCAACCAGCUGCCACCCGAGCUCAUCUCCAAAUCGCCGCGCACUCCCCUCCCCCAAAUCUCUGCGCACUCCUCGAUCUCCUCCAAAUCUCCGCGCACCUUCCUCUUCCAAAAUCGACGCACCCUCCUGUCCAUCGAAUCGCAUCCAGACUUUCUCAUCUAUGCCUCUGAUGCCGGCACCGCCGGGUUGACGUCCGGCUGUAGCCCCUAGCACGGACGAGACGAGCUGCAGCAACUCCGCCGCUGUCUCCUGCUGCAUAAGUCGUCCAGCACCAAUCGCCGCUUUGCUGCCUCCGCCCAAAUCUCCUGUGGCCUCGCCUCACAUUAUCUUUCUCCUUGCGGCCACUCCGACUGCCGAUGCCGCCGCUUUCUACUUCUGCAAGCCCACCACCGAACACCCAGAUCCUGCUGCUGUGAACGAGCUCCUGCCUGCUGCUGCUGUGAACGAGCUCCUCCUGAUUUCAGUGAUCUGCUGCUGAUGUGUACUGUUUGGAGGAGAGCAAUUAGUUUGAGCAAUAUAACGAUCUACAAAAAAAUGGAGGCAGCACAAUAGAUCAUAUUCUAUGCCGCCAUAUCCAUGUAUGAGGUACCAUGUCAAGGAGUUCAAGAAAGGGUCACCUCGCCACGCUCAAGAAUUGUUCAACAAGUACCAUUCGAGGCUGCAGAUCAUAUUCUAUGCCGCCAUAUCCAUGUAUGAGGUACCAUGUCAAGGAGUUCAAGAAAGGGUCACCUCGCCACGCUCAAGAAUUGUUCAACAAGUACCAUUCGAGGCUGCGAAACGUGAUUGAACGUACUUUUGGGUGCGCAAAAAGUAAGUGGCAACUCUUGAAUGGCAUACCUCACUACCCGCUAAUAAAGCAAUCUCAACUUGUUAUGGCUGCCUGUGCACUCCACAACUAUGUGCAUGAGUUGGAGGGACGAAAACGUCCAGCGAGGUACAGGCAACGUGGUUUUGGUGGCAGUUUGGGUCAAGUGCUUGCAAUGGCGUUAAGCCCGGACGCGACUACAGAAGAAAUCCGAGAUUGGAUUACUCUGGGACUUCCUCUCCUUGAGAAGAAAUGAAUGGUUUAUGCAAGGGACUGGGAGGACGGAGAGUAGGGAGUUGCUGGAUGAGGAAGGUUGAAAAUGGCUUUUGGAUUUUGUUUACGUGAUUGAUUAGUAAUGAAGAGGGUGGAAGAUGGCUUUUGGCUGGAUGAUGAAUUUGCCUUCUUACUGUGUGUACUAAUUCAAAUUAGUUGUUUAGAGAAUUAAUUAACUCAUGCAUUGGGAAUUUAUCUAGGAGAUGGCUGUACAGACCUUAACCAUUGGGUACUUAGUGGUAAUUAUUACUUAGAAUGGCUGUGGUUGUAAUGCAACUGUUUGUAUGUGAAGGGACCUUUGAUGGGUCAUGUUGUUUGAGUCUAUUUGAAUCUGAAAUAGAAUUCUAGUUGGUGCCAUUUGUUGAA